rnacentral:rRNA from 1 species
AUGAACACGGACGCACUACUCCGCUUUAAUUGCCGCAAGCGCUGCCUACCGGCUGACGGUCGCCUCGACGACCACUGGCGCGGCCAGCAGCGCAAGCGCCGCGGCGUGCGCGUCCUCGUUCCCGACUGCUUCCUCGUGCCCCCGCCGGAAGCCAAAUCCGCUGAUUUCGACAUGUGGGACUACAUCUGCAGCAUCCCCGACAGGCUGGGAUGGGGCAACGGCCUGAGGCUGCUCAAGGGCUGGGUCCGUGCGUCGAAGGAUGUGCCGCAGGAUCCGUCGGAUCUCACGUGUCUCACCAAGAAUAGCGAUGUGAAGCCAGGGCGCGUGGUGGUCGCGGGGAAUUGGAAAGUAGAUGACCCCGUGAAGGUCGCUUUGAAGGCAGCGGCGCCGCCUCCUCCUCGGCGGGAAAAGGUGAAACCGUAUUGGAAGUAUCUCCACGAGGAGACGAGACAUAAUGACAAGAGCUUGGGCGAGAUCGACGCCCGGGUGGCUCUUCUGGAGAAGACGCUUGAGGAGCAGAGGAGGGUGGCUCUUCUGGAGAAGACGCUUGAAGAGCAGAGGAGGGUGGCUCUUCUGGAGAAGACGCUUGAGGAGCAGAGGACGCUGGCUGAGCCGCCUAAGGAGGAUCUGUCUCAAUUCUUUGUACCUAUAACUGCUGAAGAUGAAAUGGAAGUUCAGGAUUGUUUGUAUGGUAAUGGUUCAAGUAGCAAAGUCCUGGUGCUGCAUGAACCGUCUAACAUUGAGGUUAGCAGGGAAAAAAUUCGGUGUUUGAGACCACAUGGCUGGUUAAAUGAUGAGGUCAUUAAUUUGUACCUUGAAUUGUUAAAGGAGAGGGGAAUGAGAGAACCAAAAAGGUUCUUGAAAUGCCAUUUCUUCAAUACAUUUUUUUAUAAGAAGCUUGCUUGUGGAAAAACUGGAUAUGACUACAAAUCUGUAAAAAGAUGGACUACCUCCAGGAAGUUGGGUUAUGAGCUCAUUGAAUGUGAUAAAAUCUUUGUCCCCGUACAUCAAAAUGUGCAUUGGUGUUUGGCAAUUAUAAACAUGAAGGCGAAGACAGUACAAUAUCUUGAUUCUCUUGGCGGCGAUGAUCUUCGUGUAUACGAAAUGCUGGCUAGAUAUAUUGUGGAUGAAGUGAAGGACAAGAGUAAUAAAGAGAUUGACAUAAGUUCUUGGACCAAAGAAUCUAUUGAUCGUAUUCCUUUACAAGAGAAUGGGUGGGAUUGUGGUAUGUUUAUGCUCAAGUACAUUGAUUUCCACAGCAGAGGAGUCGGCUUAUCUUUUCGUCAGGAUCACAUGGAAUACUUUCGGAGGAGAACAGCUAAGGAAAUCUUAAGACUAAGGGCUGACUAA